rnacentral:lncRNA from 1 species
UUUACUGCCGGUGCGUGAGUCGAUGGUGGAAAUGGCUUCUCCUUUUUUUAUUCUUUGUUCUUUUUGCUAGAGCUUCACUGGUUUUCUCUUUUUUGAUUAAAUAUGUUUCAGAGGCCCAAUUUUAUUUUUAUUUUUAGCGGUUUGGAAGAAUCGAGGCCUACAAUAGAGUGGCUGCCGAUCCUUGUUAUGUUAGAUCUCCUAUCUCGUUGCUUUUCUGGCUAAUAAUCCGUUUCGGGACGUCAGAGGAGAUGAGACACCAUCAGAUCUAGAGUUUUAUGUGGAAUAGGGCUUGUUCUGGCAUCUCAAAAGUGUCGGUAAUUUUGCCAUGUGACUUAUUCGGUUGCUCUCCCCACGUCUUAUGGGGUAGCUGCUGAGGUGGUGUAGCUUAGGUCGAGGUGGUUAGAAGACGACUUCUCUUUAUGUGUAGAUCUAGGGUUUCUAUUCAAUUAAUUUAAUCUAGUUUUUACUAGAUUGGUUCUGGUUUUUGACUCGAAUUUUAGUUUGUAAACCCAAG